rnacentral:rRNA from 1 species
UGGGGAAUAUUGCACAAUGGGGGAAACCCUGAUGCAGCGACGCCGCGUGAACGAAGAAGGUAUUCGUAUCGUAAAGUUCUGUCCUAUGUGAAGAUAAUGACAGUACCAUAGAAGAAAGCUCCGGCUAAAUACGUGCCAGCAGCCGCGGUAAUACGUAUGGAGCGAGCGUUGUCCGGAAUUAUUGGGCGUAAAGGGUACGCAGGCGGUUUAAUAAGUCGAAUGUUAAAGAUCGGGGCUCAACCCCGCAGAGCAUUGGAUACUGAUAAACUUGAGUAGUGGAGAGGAAAGUGGAAUUCCUAGUGUAGUGGUGAAAUACGUAGAUAUUAGGAGGAAUACCAGUAGCGAAGGCGACUUUCUGGACACAAACUGACGCUGAGGUACGAAAGCGUGGGGAGCAAACAGG